GGGUCAGUAGGUUGGUCGUGCCACCGGUACGUACUGGUCUCACUGAUUCCUCCUUCCUGAAGAACCGUAGUGCCAUUAAUUUGGUGUUGCGGGGAAACAGGACUGUUACUUUGAAAAAAUUAGAGUGUUUUAAGCAAGCUAACGCUUGAAUACAUUAGCAUGGAAUAAUGAAAUAGGACGAUCGAUCCUAUUUUGUUGGUUUCUAGGAUUGACGUA
rnacentral:rRNA from 1 species